CCGUUACGGCCUUUUCCAAAAUGUCGUCGGAACAGAAACACACGGCGUGUGCUGGCAGGGGUGUCGAGGGU
rnacentral:pre_miRNA from 1 species